rnacentral:rRNA from 1 species
GGGGAAUCUUGCGCAAUGGGGGCAACCCUGACGCAGCCAUGCCGCGUGAACGAUGAAGGCCUUAGGGUUGUAAAGUUCUUUUACCCGUGACGAUGAUGACGGUAACGGGGGAAUAAGCUCCGGCUAACUUCGUGCCAGCAGCCGCGGUAAUACGAAGGGGGCUAGCGUUGUUCGGAAUUACUGGGCGUAAAGCGCGCGCAGGCGGUUCGAUAAGUUGGGGGUGAAAUCCCCGGGCUCAACCCGGGAAUGGCCUUCAAGACUGUCGAGCUAGAGGACGAGAGAGGUGAGUGGAAUUCCCAGUGUAGAGGUGAAAUUCGUAGAUAUUGGGAAGAACACCGGUGGCGAAGGCGGCUCACUGGCUCGUUUCUGACGCUGAGGCGCGAAAGCGUGGGGAGCAAAC